rnacentral:lncRNA from 1 species
CAUGGCUCCUGCGCUAGGCCAGCUGACAUAGCAGCCGAAAAUUCGGGACCUUCGCACCACCACCGAAGCGGCGUUCGUCGGACUCUCGCGCCAAUCGUCGUCAAGAGCGACGCGCCAUCGGUGAGCCAGUUCCCGGUGUGAGGACUUCAAAGAAGCCUCCUGCCACCGCCUCCUCUCCGCGCUGUGGACGCUCUUUCGCGCAACCAUCACGGACACUUGCCUUAAUUUUCUUUACCUUCCUUCCGCAGCGCCAUUUUAUUGUAUUAUGUGUUUCAAGCGUAUUGUCUUUUGUUAUUGAUUUUUCUCGCAGUAUAAUGUAUUCAUUUUUAGCAGCAGCUUCAGGGCUGGACUGAGGCUAGUGGUUGCUCAUAGCAGUGUUAUUUUAACUGCAUGGGUGACCGCCGGCUGCCUUUGCAGACCGGUAAAGGGCAAAUUUAGGAGA